GCAGCAACACCUCCCAUCAGCUCAGUCCCUCCUCUGUUCUCUCUGAGGACAGGGAAACUACAACCAUGUAGGUCCUCAUGCUAAGGACAAUGUUGACCAGUCCUGGUGCUCAUCCUCCAGAAGACUGUGUUUUCCAUACCACCUCACUGUUUAGGGGGCUGGCCAAGCUCCGGAUGAUGGGCUGCAGGCCACUUCUAGGCCUGCCCCAUAAAACCUGGAGCUAGAGAUAAUUGUGGCUUGUGAUUUCACCAGGACCUGUCCACUUUCUCUGAAAAUAGCUAGUUGGUGGGGCCUCCCCUGCAUCCAGAACGCGAGCCUCAGGAGAGUCCAAGAUUGGCCAUCAGCGUUCAGCCUCUGCAAGUGGAAAGAGGGUGGGAGGCAGGUGGAGAGAGCAUAUCUAAGAUGCUUGCCUCAUCCACCCUGUGACUGCUUCGUAGCCACAUGCAUCCUUCCCUUCAGCUUUGAAAAGGUAAAUAACCACGCUAGUAACCCAGCCUGCUCCCACCUAGCCCAGUGUGGCUUCCCCGCCUGCAAGCUGGAAGACCCCCGCCCUCUCCCCACUGUGCAGGACUUCACUGAGCAUCCUGUGACCCACCCAGUCUGCCCCAGGAAUUCACCCCUGAUACGCUAGCUUGGGGCAUGUGGUGUUUUUCCUGUCCAGACGUGUCAAAGGAAAAGCAGCAAAGCUUUCCACUGGGUUCUACCACAGGAUAUUCAGCACUGGGUGAAUAUUAAAAUCCUCAGAAUAAAAUUAUAUAUGGAAUGACAACUGCCCAGGUACCUCCUGAGAUGGGCUCAGGAUCUCUAGGGUGGAGCCAUGCUUCUUUCUCUGGGUGAUUGCAAUGCCAGCAACAGUUGGAACUCACUGUCCUGCCAUGUGCUGCCAUUCAGGUGGGGACAGGAUGGACGAUGCAGACGUGCUCAUGGGCUGGUGGCUCGCAUAUGCGCACACACAUGGACAUUAUGUGACCACGCAGUCACGCAGGUGCUUGCCUCUGCACAGCUGUCCUGGAAGGAUGUGGGGACACUGAGGCCCUGGAGAUAGUCUGAAACAUGGCAUCAGAACCUUUCUGGACACGGCAUUUUGGACAGGGACCAUGAGUACACUGGUGUGGGGGACGACCCGCGUUGGCCACACUGGAUUUUCAAGGCACCACCUGGCUGUGAGGACCAUGUGUGAUAUCCUACUGGCUGC
rnacentral:lncRNA from 1 species